GACGAACGCUGGCGGCGUGCCUAAUACAUGCAAGUUGAGCGCUGAAGGUUGGUCCUUGUACCGACUGGAUGAGCAGCGAACGGGUGAGUAACGCGUGGGGAAUCUGCCUUUGAGCGGGGGACAACAUUUGGAAACGAAUGCUAAUACCGCAUAAAAACUUUAAUACAAGUUUUAAGUUUUAAAGAUGCAAUUGCAUCACUUAAAGAUGAUCCCGCGUUGUAUUAGCUAGUUGGUGAGGUAAAGGCUCACCAAGGCGAUGAUACAUAGCCGACCUGAGAGGGUGAUCGGCCACAUUGGGACUGAGACACGGCCCAAACUCCUACGGGAGGCAGCAGUAGGGAAUCUUCGGCAAUGGACGAAAGUCUGACCGAGCAACGCCGCGUGAGUGAAGAAGGUUUUCGGAUCGUAAAACUCUGUUGGUAGAGAAGAACGUUGGUGAGAGUGGAAAGCUCAUCAAGUGACGGUAACUACCCAGAAAGGGACGGCUAACUACGU
rnacentral:rRNA from 1 species